GGACCCGCACAAGCGGUGGAGCAUGUGGUUUAAUUCGAAGAUACGCGCAGAACCUUACCAACACUUGACAUGUUCGUCGCGACUCUAAGAGAUUAGAGUUUUCGGUUCGGCCGGACGAAACACAGGUGCUGCAUGGCUGUCGUCAGCUCGUGUCGUGAGAUGUUGGGUUAAGUCCCGCAACGAGCGCAACCCUCACUUUUAGUUGCCAUCAUUUAGUUGGGCACUCUGAAAGAACUGCCAGUGAUAAGCUGGAGGAAGGUGGGGAUGACGUCAAGUCCUCAUGGCCCUUACGUGUUGGGCUACACACGUGCUACAAUGGUAUCUACAACAGGAAGCAAAACGGCGACGUUAAGCAAAUCCUCAAAAGAUACCUCAGUUCGGAUUGCACUCUGCAACUCGAGUGCAUGAAGCUGGAAUUACUAGUAAUCGU
rnacentral:rRNA from 1 species